GUCGUUGUAGUAUAGUGGUCAGUAUUUCCGCCUGUCACGCGGACGACCCGGGUUCGAUGCCCGGCAACGGCG
rfam:Zea mays cultivar B73 chromosome 6, whole genome shotgun sequence.